rnacentral:rRNA from 1 species
CCUACGGGAGACAGCAGUGAGGAAUAUUUGUCAAUGGGCGCUAGCCUGAACCAGCCAAGUAGCGUGAAGGAUGACUGCCCUCUGGGUUGUAAACUUCUUUUAUAAAGGCAUAAAGCGCAGCACGUAUACCUUUUUGCAUGUACUUUAUGAAUAAGGAUCGGCUAACUCCGUGCCAGCAGCCGCGGUAAUACGGAGGAUCCGAGCGUUAUCCGGAUUUAUUGGGUUUAAAGGGAGCGUAGAUGGGUUGUUAAGUCAGUUGUGAAAGUUUGCGGCUCAACCGUAAAAUUGCAAUUGAUACUGGCAGCCUUGAGUACAGUAGAGGUAGGCGGAAUUCGUGGUGUAGCGGUGAAAUGCUUAGAUAUCACGAAGAACCCCGAUUGCGAAGGCAGCCUACUAAACUGUGACUGACACUGAUGCUCGAAAGUGUGGGUAUCAAACAGGAUUAGAUACCCUAGUAGUC